UACGUAGGGGGCAAGCGUUGUCCGGAUUUAUUGGGCGUAAAGAGCGUGUAGGCGGCCGUACAGGUCAGCUGUGAAAACUCGAGGCUCAACCUCGAGACGUCGGUUGAAACCGUACGGCUAGAGUCCGGAAGAGGAGAGUGGAAUUCCCGGUGUAGCGGUGAAAUGCGCAGAUAUCAGGAGGAACACCGGUGGCGAAGGCGGGUCUCUGGGCAGUAACUGACGCUGAGGAGCGAAAGCGUGGGGAGCGAACAGG
rnacentral:rRNA from 1 species